rnacentral:rRNA from 1 species
GCGUAGGCGGGUCUUUAAGUCAGGGGUGAAAUCCUGGAGCUCAACUCCAGAACUGCCUUUGAUACUGAAGAUCUUGAGUUCGGGAGAGGUGAGUGGAACUGCGAGUGUAGAGGUGAAAUUCGUAGAUAUUCGCAAGAACACCAGUGGCGAAGGCGGCUCACUGGCCCGAUACUGACGCUGAGGCACGAAAGCGUGGGGAGCAAACAGGAUUAGAUACCCUGGUAGUCCACGCCGUAGACGAUGAAUGCCAGCCGUUAGUGGGUUUACUCACUAGUGGCGCAGCUAACGCUUUAAGCAUUCCGCCUGGGGAGUACGGUCGCAAGAUUAAAACUC